rnacentral:sRNA from 1 species
UUCAAAAUCAUCACAGAAACU